GUACCUUUCUCGGCCUUUUGGCUAAGGUCAAGCGUAGUAUUUGCUCUUAUCAAUUUAAUAUUUGAUAUGCGUACUAUUGGUUCACAUGAUGUUAACUUAAUUUUUUAAGGGAAGGUCCGUCCAUUGGGGUUGCUUGCUAUCUGAGCCCUUGUGCGUCGUCUAGGCUUUGCACUGCAGCCCAGGCCUGAAUCACCCCAU
rfam:Capsicum annuum cultivar Zunla-1 unplaced genomic scaffold scaffold5566, whole genome shotgun sequence